CCACGGCUGAUAGAUGGCCUUUUGUACACUUUAGGUUUUUGAAGCGUGACAGCUACCGUAGCAGCAAUACGUACUUUGAACUGCGUGGUGGGAGAAAGUUGAUUGCGAUAUACGAUCUCAAUGCUAGAUGGGAGAAAUUCUUACACAAUGUACCUUUUUAAAAGGAUU